GUCGAGAAUCUUGGGCAAUGCGCGAAAGCGUGACCCAGCAAUGCCGCGUGUAUGAUGAAGGCCCUCGGGUCGUAAAGUACUGUCUCCCGUGACGAAAUUUGACGGUAGCGGGGAAGGAAGCCACGGCUAACUACGUGCCAGCAGCCGCGGUAAUACGUAGGUGGCGAGCGUUGUUCGGAUUUAUUGGGCGUAAAGGGUCUGUAGGAGGUUUGUUAAAUACGGGGUGAAAUCCCGAAGCUCAACUUCGGAAUUGCCUUGUAGACUGACGAACUGGAGUACCGGAGAGGUAAGCGGAAUAUCAGGUGUAGCGGUGGAAUGCGUAGAUAUCUGGUAGAACACCAAAAGCGAAGGCAGCUUGCUGGACGGAAACUGACUCUGAAAGACGAAAGCAUGGGGAGCAAACAGGAUUAGAUACCCUUGUAGUCC
rnacentral:rRNA from 1 species